CAGGCCUAACCAUGCAAGUCGUACGAGAACCGAGUAGCUUGCUACUCGGGGAAAGUGGCAAUGGGUGAGUAACACGUGAGCAAUCUACCCCCGAGUGAGGAACAACCCGCGAAAGUGGGGCUAAUACCGCAUGAUACUGUGGAGCAUAAGCUUUCACGUCAAAGCCUUCGGGCGCUUGGGGAUGAGCUUGCGGCCUAUUAGGUUGUGGUAGGGUAACGGCCUACCAAGGUAAUGAUGGGUAGCCGGCCUGAGAGGUGUACGGCCACACUGGAACUGGGACACGGUCCAGACUCCUACGGGAGGCGCAGUGGGGAAUUUUGCGCAAUGGGCGAAAGCCUGACGCAGCGACGCCGGUGGAGGAUGAAGGCCUUCGGGUUGUAAACUCCUGUCAGAGGUGAAGAAGCCCUUCGGGGUCUGACGGUAACCUCAGAGGAAGCCCCGGCCAACUACGGCCAGCAGCCGCGGUAAU
rnacentral:rRNA from 1 species